rnacentral:rRNA from 1 species
GUGGGGAAUAUUGGACAAUGGGCGCAAGCCUGAUCCAGCAAUGCCGCGUGAGUGAAGAAGGCCUUAGGGUUGUAAAGCUCUUUUACCCGGGAAGAUAAUGACUGUACCGGGAGAAUAAGCCCCGGCUAACUCCGUGCCAGCAGCCGCGGUAAUACGGAGGGGGCUAGCGUUGUUCGGAAUUACUGGGCGUAAAGCGCACGUAGGCGGCUUUGUAAGUUAGAGGUGAAAGCCCAGGGCUCAACCCUGGAACUGCCUUUAAGACUGCAUCGCUUGAACACGGGAGAGGUGAGUGGAAUUCCGAGUGUAGAGGUGAAAUUCGUAGAUAUUCGGAAGAACACCAGUGGCGAAGGCGACUCACUGGACCGUUGUUGACGCUGAGGUGCGAAAGCGUGGGGAGCAAACAGGAUUAGAAACCCGAGUAGUCC